AGCAAAGACAAAUCUUUUAUACUGGGUCUGUGAGUUCGGUUUCGUAACCAUCGAUUUGAAGAAUAAGUCGUAAAAAGUAUGUAGGUUUUAGUGGAUGUAGGGAAACUGUUUUGUUAUCUUUCAUGUAAGUGAGUGAGAGAGCUUCCUUUUGUAGGACCGCUGUCGAAAUACUUUAUGAAGUAGUUUCUAACUGUACGUUACGUAGAGGGAUACUUUUCAGUCUUCUCUUGUUUUUGUAGAGUUCACCCUUGUCAAUUCAUAUUGACGUAUUACUUUUAUAUUCAGUCUCACAUGACCAUGAAAUCUGCAAAAGAUUAGAAUCGUUAAAUUGAGAAAUGAAUAAAAUUAGCACGAGAUCAAGUCGCUUAUAGUUUAUAGUCAUAUUGGUGGCUCAAAGGAUUCAAAUGAGUGUGGACUGUAUUCAGAGAUUGCCAGAGCUAGAUGGCAUCAAGAAAUUUGGACUUUUAAGAAGGAAAGGGGUGGUCUAUUAAAUGCGCAGCGUAGUCAUGAUUUUUGGUUUGUCUGGUUCCAGUGGUUUUUUGUACUUUCAUACUGAUUGGAUAAGUCGGAAAUAGGAAUUGGAUUGCAACUGAAGAUUGUGAUAAUUGGUAUUUAAUAUAAUACUAUAAUAAUUGUUAUUGCCAUUAAUAUUAAUAGCAAUGAAAGCUAGGCUAUAUUGAAUAACAAUGAGAAGAAUUAAAACAAUCUUCAAGUAUUAAAUUUAAACUGUAAUUGAAUUCGGUUUGAACGUGCCAAUAAAUUGUUCGUCGAGUGAUUUAUCUCUCCCGCAUGAUAUCCUUUACGAAAUGUAUUCCGACUUUAACAGAAUGUUAGACAUUUUAAGUUACCGGGCUGGUUGUUACUGAACAAAACUGUGAUAUUUCGUUAAAGUUAGUAACGCAGUAAAUUAUAUAACUUCGGCAUAGAAAAAUAUUUAUAUGGUAGGAAAUAUGUAUUUUAAAGAAAGAAAAAAAACUACAGGGUGUCCUGUAAACGGAUGAUAAUAUAAAACGGCAAUACAAUGAAGCUCUGAUUGUGACAGUAUUGUAGAAAAGAAUCAAUGCUCUAUUUGCCAUAUGUACCAUUUACCAAAUAGAAUUUAAUUAAAAAAGGGUGUGUGUACUUAUGUACGCGCGUAAGAAAAUAUACUUUAUUUUUAUUAAA